GACGAACGCUGGCGGCACGCUUAACACAUGCAAGUCGAACGGAGUUAUUCGGAGCUUGCUCUGGAUAACUUAGUGGCGGACGGGUGAGUAACGCGUGAGUAACCUGCCUUAGACUGGGGGAUAACACUUAGAAAUAGGUGCUAAUACCGCAUAAGCGCACAGUGCCGCAUGGCACAGUGUGAAAAACUCCGGUGGCCUAAGAUGGACUCGCGUCUGAUUAGCUAGUUGGUGAGGUAACGGCCCACCAAGGCGACGAUCAGUAGCCGGCCUGGAGAGGGUGAACGGCCACAUUGGGACUGAGACACGGCCCAAACUCC
rnacentral:rRNA from 1 species